GGAAUAUUGCACAAUGGGCGCAAGCCUGAUGCAGCCAUGCCGCGUGUAUGAAGAAGGCCUUCGGGUUGUAAAGUACUUUCAGCGGGGAGGAAGGCGAUAAGGUUAAUAACCUUGUCGAUUGACGUUACCCGCAGAAGACGCACGGGGUAACUCCGUGCCGGCAGCCGCGGUAAUACGGAGGGUGCAAGCGUUAAUCGGAAUUACUGGGCGUAAAGCGCACGCAGGCGGUCUGUCAAGUCGGAUGUGAAAGCCCCGGGCUCAACCUGGGAACUGCAUUCGAAACUGGCAGGCUUGAGUCUUGUAGAGGGGAGUAGAAUUCCAGGUGUAGCGGUGAAAUGCGUAGAGAUCUGGAGGAAUACCGGUGGCGAAGGCGGCCCCCUGGACAAAGACUGACGCUCAGGUGCGAAAGCGUGGGGAGCAAACA
rnacentral:rRNA from 1 species